CCCUUGCUGGUUUGGUGGCUAGGAUUCCUGGUUUUCAUCCAGGCUUCCCAGGUUCAACUCCUUGGCAGGGAA
rnacentral:tRNA from 1 species